GUGCCGGUUCCUUUUCAAAUCACUGCUGUCACGUGAAGUAAAACCUCGGGAGUUACUCUGAAAACGCUCCGCAGUUCGUCGAGGGUUUCAAAGCGCUCCCUCUGCAGCUUGAUUUGUGGGGAGACCUGGACAUCCUUCUCUCCACUUGUUGUACCAAUCACUAAGGAGCAGAGGAGGUUCUAGGAUCCAGCGCCGAAGUCUGGGGAGGAUCUGGCCCGCCCUCACCCCCCAGGCCCCUUGGCGGGGGCGGGGGAAGCCACGGGCCCUGCCGUGCCAUAGCUGUCCGGAUCUCAGAGGCUGGGUAGACCCAUCAGAGGGACUCGGACGGUAAGAGGCCCGCUGAGCCUCACCCGCGGGAAGGACGCUUCGCCCGGGAAAACUCUUUACACAAUUCAAGUUUGCAUGGGCUGUAACGGGGCUCCCAGCUGCUGAUCUACCUUGGAGGUUCCCUUGAAUUGGUGAUGUAUUCUCUUCCUUUACCGAUUAUCUUGAUUGGUGCUGUGUUAUUGGUUAUUCUCAUCAUUGUAUGUUUUCUAUGCAAAUUUAAGCUAUCUGUGCCUUGCCUUUUCUAAAUAAAUUUCCAUUUUCUAUUU